GCUUACACUCCGGGGACGUACUCUUCGUGUUGCUGUUUUGGCACACACCGUGGAACCACCGGGGUCCUGCAGCCUCUUGGGUCCCAUGCAGACCUACUUUUACUGCAUCGUUGGAGGUGCCAAGGACUGGAGGAGUACCAGGUCUGAUAGUGGAGCCUGUUGUGCCACUAUUGGACUAGACUUUCUCAUUCUGAGCCUAAUAGUGGGCACAUUGUGAAAGCCAGUUUCCUUCUCUCACAGACAAAGAUACAAUUGCUGCUUUCUUAAAGAACAUAGCGGUUGUUUAUAAGCUCAGUAGGCUUGUAAUCACUAUAUUGCAUUAUUUUCAGUCAUAUGAUUAGUUUAAGUAGCUUCUAAGUUUCCUGAUCAUCAUAAAAUUGGGCACAACAAUGGAGUUUCCUUGUUCAUCACAUGUGUUUGGCAUGUGAGGGUUGCAGAAUCCUCAAAAACAUCUGGUCGUCAUUGCUUGGUUUUUCUUUUUAUAAUCGAAAUGCAAUCGACUUUUCUUCCCAAACUCUAUAAACUGGGAUGUCCUGGUUUCAAUUUCAACUCGAUUAAAUUUGUUUUUACAUGUGUAAACUCUAGAAAGUGACACCAAGAUGAAGAAAGACAUUUUAAUGUUUGUGGCGAUCAAUAGAUUUAAAGUUGCAGAUGUGCUAGCUGACUCAAGGACACCAUUUUAAGGAUAUUAACAAGUAAUUUCAGCUACUAGAGGAGUCGACAGUGUUAAAGAAAACGUAAGUUUCAAUGCUCACAUUGUUUUUUGUCUUUUUCUCCAUCUUGCUUCAUUACUGCUGAGGUAGCGCCUCAGACAAGUGGCUUUUGCUGGCCUCUCACCGUGCUCAUUAACAAGUCCACAUUCACUCUUCCCCUCCAUGGGUGUUGUUGAAUUUGUCUGAGUAGCCCAAUAUUGCUGCAGCCCAUAAUUCGACUUUAAUUAAUUCCCAGCCAGAUGGAAAUUCCUGUAGUUUCUCAUGAAAGAAAUGGUGUGUUUUCUCCCCGAGGCGGAUUGAUGGCGAAGCGAGCAGCUUUGCUACAGUGCUCGGGGUAGAGAGGAAUGCUAAUAAUUCUUAAAGGCUUACAGUUCGUCAGCAGUAGCCAUGGCAAUUCCUCACAUACAAUGGUGGCCUUUUAGAGGAUCGGAGAGGAGGAGGUGGGGGCUGCGCCUUCAUUGACUAAGUUUGGUGUGAUAUUGGGAAAGACCUCUUUGCACUUUGCACUGUUCUGGUUAUUAUAAGAUUAAGUGGUACCCACAGCAGUUUGCUUAAGUGAACCAUCAUGGAGAGGAGGAUAGGGGAGGGGAACUGUCUGUGCAGAACAUAAGCACUGCAUUGAUAAUACCCCGAUACCCAAAUUAGACACUUAAAAUACACAUUAAUAACUUUGGGUAUUGCCUAUUUUCCCAGUCAGGACCAUAGACUGUAUAUACUAUGAACAACAUGGUUCCGCCUUCCGCCUGUAUACGGAUUUGAAGCCAAAAAGCUCUCGGUAUUACCGGGAUUUUUCUUCACUUCCUGAAACCAGCACUGUGCAUUAGCGUUGUGCGCAUUCGGCCGCGCAGUCGCAGAGAGUCACUGUGAUGACGCUCGGCUCAAACAGCGUAUCCCCCCCAUAGACAUAAUAAAAGAUAGACCUCGCAUCGGCCGCUACCACGAAUGGGCGCUGUCGGGAAAUGCGGCCGCCAUCUUGGUCCGGUCAUCCGCCUCACUCUGCACCACAGCCCCAUAAGCUUUGCUGGCAGAGGCAGGAUUUAUGACCUAUACUGCAGCCCAUCAACAGAGGGUGCUGUUCUCAGAGUGGCUUCACCCAUCGAGGAGGCAGACUCUGUCCUUUCUGUAUACAGUCUAUGGUCAGGACGUACACUUCAAUAUAGAACUUCUGGAGCUCAUGAGUUUCGUUAUUUAAUGCAACAUGACAUCAGGUCCGUCGGACGACAUGUGAGCGCUUGUGCAUUUUGACCACGAAUGAAUCCAGGCUCUGUGCGGAGACUUGUUGCUGUUAUUGCUUAAAGAGGAAAAAACAACAACAACAGUGUGUUUCUAAUUCCCCUCAUGAUUCGCUGAUUGGUAUCUACAUUACAGGAGCAUGCAGAAUGAAAAUCACUUCCCUUUCUACACUCAAUGACUCAACUGUAAGGGUGGACUCACAGGCCAGUGCUUUACUGUACAAGGCCUCAGGAUAAACUUCUGUUAAUUCAUAACUUUUUAAAACAACUGCUGUGUUAGAAGAGACGAAGAGGCUGUCAGAGUUCAGAUCCGAAAUACAAACUGCUUUUAAAGCCCUCUGUUCAGCUGGUUAUUAAGCACACAUCAUAUGACUGGAAUUAAACGACUGGUGAUGUAACUUUAUGACAUCCAAAGGCAAAAAAGUCAAUUUUUAAAUUUUACUUUUUUAUGGGAUUUAAACUCUUGCUCAAACAAGUACAAAUAUCAGAUAUUUUAAUGUACUUUGGUCUCAAACCCCCAAAAGUAUCAGCCGUAAUGAACUCGAGCAUGCAGUACGAUAAAUAUAUCCAAUACACCACCAAUAGUCCAAAUAAAAAUAAGCUUUUUGACAGCAUAGUGAAGCACUUAAAACUUUAAAAAACAGAGUUUGGCUUAGACUUUCUUUGGUGUUUGUAUUGGAGGUUCUUAAAAUGAGAUAAAUUACACAGAAGUCUUGGCCCUGUCUGCAGAAGCUGAUAGUGUCAUGAAGAAAAGAAUGGCCCAAAUGCAGAACAAAAAAGGAUUUAUUUAAAAUAAAUAAAUGAAAGGCAACAAAAACUUACUCUCAAAAAUGUCCAAUAAAAAAUCCAAAAUCCAGCAAAAGGCACUGAGGGGAAAAUCACAAGAAGACACUGGGGACACUGGCGUACGCACAUCUUGAGAAACACACAAUGAACCAACAAGCACAAAGAGGAAGACAGGGACUAUAUACAUGCAGGGAAAUGAGCAACAGGUGAGGCAGACGAGACACAGAAACUUAUGGGUGAUUAAUGGAGGAGGGAAAACUUGGGGAGUAAAACCAGACUAGGUACACAAGGAGUCAGCUACUACAAAAUCAAAUGAGAACCAAUCUACAGAAUAAAACACUGAGAACAGGAGGGAAACGGGGUCAGACACAAACUGAAAACUCACAAGACAGGACUACAGGGGAACAGAAACAAAAGGGAAAAUACAAAGAAAAUACACUGAAAUAACAAAAAAACUAAAUCAACAGAUCAUAUCAUAACAGAUACCCUCAACAUCACUCCAGUUCUUGAUUCUGUUUCUGAAUAAAGAUGCUUAGCUGACCAGGAUCCCCUGUUAGAAAUACAGCUACACUAUUGACAAGUACAUACAACCCACUAAAAGAAGUCCUUUCCCUUUAGAGUGGGAUUUUGUGGGGCUCUGAUGACCCCAAAUUUAGAGGCUGUAGUCCUUUGUUUCAAGUCUCUUCUCUCCACAUUUCUCAUGUCUCUUUAGCUACCCCUAUUUAAAAACAGCAUUUAACCCCCGUGAAUAUUCCCUUUCGCCUUAAAAAUAAAGCAAUUGACAAAAUCAGCAGACAGGUAAGACAUGCUUUGUCCACUAGGGGUGCCAAAAAAGUGUAUAGGAGCUCAUAGGAGCUACAAACAUUGUUUCCACUGUGGGAGGCAAAGAAGUUUUACUCACAUCAGAUAUCAGAGUACAUGCCAUUCUUUACGCACACAGACAGCAGUGAGGUAUGAGCCAAAAGCAGGGAACUGCUGCAGAAAUUUGGCAUGUGUGCAGUAAGUAACUGUAAGAGGGGCUUUGUGACAGAUUAAGUCAUUUUGCUUUACUUUGUGGUAUUGUAAACAUUAACUUUUCAAUGUUUUUGCUGUGGUCCAGCCCUGAGAUGGAGCUGUUGUCUGCUGAGAAAGUUUAUUACCCCCAGGUGUAACUCCUGCUGGGACUUCUUGUUUAUGGCUUCAACCCCCCUCCAGCUUGUUAGUCGGGUUCAUUAGUAGAGCUCAGGCCACAAUUGCCCUAAAUUUAUGGUGCGGUGGCACUUUGGUGCAGCUGUUUCAAGGAGUUUAGCUUCAGGUUAGGGACUCCUUACUUCCCUCUGCAUGAACAAUUAGCUUUUCUUUUGCAUUGUUAUAGUUUCUUGUCUGUAAUGUUGAUGUAAAGACAGCAACAGACAUGCUCAGACUUGUUUCUCCUUAUUUAGAGGGGUGUUAGUCGUAAAAGUCUAUCAAUGUAAAGCUUGAGUGUAAGCAGAUAAAGCUCACUCUGUAGACAAAGUUCUGCAUUGCCUUAAUCUUCAGGAAAUUGCCAAAACAAACAAGAGGUAAAAAUGACUGAAUGAGAUAAUUAUACGACUGAUAGAAAUAGCAGAGAUACGAUAAUUAUAUGAUUGAUCGAAAUAGCCGCGAUGCUGUAAUUAUGAAUAUGACAGCUGAUGCGGUCUCCCUCCAGGAAACCACCGUCUUUAUAUGUUUCCAAAAAGCCAUAAUCAGCAGCACACCAGGCAUGCGCUCUCUGCCCAGGAAACGACCACGUACUUUAGAAUUAUAGUCAUUUGGAAAUGGAGGCAGCUGGGUAAGGUUUGGGGAAUUUGGGUUAAUUGCUAAGCCUGUGUCCUUUUCAGAGACCACAGGUUAAUGGGCAGUGUGUUUUUAUAUCAACAGCGCACACAGAUGCAUGUUGAUAAUUUGGCUAAUUGAAUGGGAAGGUCAUAAUCAUUCGCUGACCUCUUUAAAACUGCUAUUCCUCUUCAUUUCCUCUGGGACAGCUGGCCACUUUUCCUAUAAGAGUGCACCAGGCGAGCUCGUCCAAAUUCAACACACACCAUCUGCAGUGUUUUUACACUCUUACUCUGAGCUGCUACUUUGUGUGUUUACAGUGUUUACAGCGUCUGACAAGUGAGCGCAGAGGGACACAUGCUUUUGUGUUUGGAUUGCGUAAGAGAGCGGCAGAAGUUGUUAGCCAGCUGGUCUGUUGGGGUUAAAAUGAUAUCAAGAGGCCUGCUGAGAGUCGCUGAGGCCUUCUGGGAAAUAUCUUCCUUUGUACUGUGUCUGAUGAAAGGAGCUGAAGGCUGCUUACUUGGGAUCAUUUGGAGUUUUUGAGGUCAGAUAAGAUUUCUAUUUUUUUCCACAGAAGGCUGGUUAUGAGAAUGAUAAAACUACAUUUAGCCCCAAAGGACAUGUUGGUGUUUUUUUGUUCUUGAAUGCCCUCUUCACAUCUUUCAACCGAUUAUGUUUAGUUUUAUUUCCAUCCUCACCCCUCAUUCACCUUUAAAAAAAUGAGCUCAAAGCAAUCAAACGAUCUGAAAACAAUAAACAAUAAUCUACCCCAAAUAUCAGCUGGUUUAUGGUGGAUUAAUAUGGCAGAAACAAACAACCCAAAACAUUUGGAGCGCCCUUUCACUGAUCUCACUAAAGGUAACAAAACCCGCCUCCUCCAUGUAAACAGAUGGGCCAUGGGUCAGUGUUUAAAACUGAAAUACAAAAAAAAAAUAGUUUUAUUCUAUUAUUUGGUUUUAUUAGAAAACAUGAUUAUAGAUCUGUUUACAAAUUCAGCCGUACUAUGAUGCUGUGAGGACUAAAUAUGGUACUGUCAAGCAGUGACAUGGAUGUAGACUGGCAUUGUAGAGGCGGGAUGAUGAGAGGAAGAGUAAAAGUCACUAAACCAACCAAACCAACCCAAGAAUCUGAAGGGACAGGAAGUCAAUACUGUCAAUACUUUGUCCCCACCUGUCAUGGGAGGUAAUUUUGUGCAACAUUUUAGGUGGGAAGUCAAGCCAGCAAAAUACCAUCAAAAAGGGCCUGUUUCCAUUGACCCAUGUGGUCCACAGGAAGUGUGUGCAUGGUUUUGCUCCACCCUACUCAUAGAUUAGAUAAUAACUGGAUAAAGUAAUGUCACACAGCUUUAGUACAGACAGCCUUUACCUUUUGCAUGCUAAUUUAUUGUAGCAUUGAAUAAGACAGUGUCUGAUUUAACAUUGAAUAGACUGUCUGAUAACUUCAGCGUGGACAUUUAGAGUUAACCGUUCAUUCAUGAACUGCUGUGCGUAGCUCAAAGCGAUAGUUUGGGGUUGAGUGUCUUGCCUGAGGACACACAGGCAUAAGGACAGCGGGAACUGGGUUCAAAGCCUUGACUUUUUGAUCAAGAGAUGACGGACUCUACUUCACAGACAUCACUUGCUGUGUGACAUUUUCAGGACCCGAGAGCAAAAACGAAAAAGAAAACCUUUGAUUUUUCAGUAAGGGAAGAAGAAGUGACAGUUUUGGUAGCUGAGAAACAUUGAGCACCAGUGAGUAUUUCCCUUUAAUCACCCGAGUAUCAAAGCAAUACUCAGCCAAAAGUAGGCUAUUUAAAUCCAAGUGUAAGAAUCGGAAAAGAAAGUCGGUCCCGGAACUUCCCUGGUUUGUUGGCCUGUCAGCAGAGACCGUGCGCUGCUGCAGCUCUGUGUUGAUCUAUGGCUGCAGAGUGACUUCAUGGAGACUGCUCAGACUUCAGGGGCCCGGCUCGCCUCUUGUUUGGACUCUUGCCAAAGUGAGCUCAUCCAUGACAGCGAGUCCAGCUGCUCGCUCGUAGGAGCGCUGCUCUUCCUCGACCUCCGCGCCUGGUCCUGAACUCAGGAGCCGGCCUGUGUGUGGACUUCGGGGGUGAGCGUUAGUGUGAGUGUGACACCAUUCCCAGAAGCUCCGACAGGGACUGACCACUGGCAGCCUGCCGCCCCCUCGGCGCCUGCUAAGCACUCCGGCCUCAAGCCUCCACAGUUCCCUACGGAGAGGCCCAGUUUGUUCUGGACACACGCCAGCGCUGAGCAGUAGGGGGCAGGGCUAGGUCAGCUCUCAGGGGUGGUCCUGUAGUCCAAGUGUAUGAAUGCAUGUCUAUUUGUGAUGUGUUUGGAGCCAUCAUGAUUAGCUUGUGUUUUGUUUUGCUGUGAUUCUAUUAUUUUUGAUUUGGUGUUAAGCCUCGGGGAUGCUAGAUCUUCUCAGUCUUUGUUGAGCUCCCAAUGUGUCUUGGGAAUGUGGAGGAGGACAGCACAAGAAAGAUUGUGCCUCUAACUCAUUCAGCUGAUUGGCUGGAGGGCGGGGUUGUCCAUUGGCUCCAGCUCUGGACAUUCUUGGUGAAAAGGUGUCGCUCUAUUAGCGAUAUCAGCUGAAAUUAAAGAUAUCUCUCGAGUAUUUUCAGUUAGCUUUACUGGGCUGUGUUUGAGAUUAUUCUGUCACUCAAUCAUUUCCUGGACUAACACCAUCAAUCUGGUCUCAAUCUGUGGCGAAGCACACGAGCAUGAGGGCAGCCAAAGGUCAGAACCUGAGAAGGAGUCAUAUCUCGUUGCUCCCCCCUCCUCCCGAUUUCGUGCUCCCUCUCUGUGGCCACCACCUCAGCCCUGAACCGAGUCCUGCCCCAGCUCACCACCAUUUGGAAUCCAUUAUCCAACCAGGCUCUGAGUUUUUCCUGAUAAUUAAAAGGAGACGUUCUCCAGCGUUCUCCCUUUAGAUUAACGGCUGUUCUCUUGGGCUCAGCCAGUGGGAGGGCCGGCACAGCGGGGUGGUGGGUGCUCUGGAGACUCCAGGGCUGGGAGGGAAGCGUUGAGGGUAUGGGUACGGGUUAAUAGUGGUGAGCCAAGUCCAUGAGUUGAGACAAGUUGUAUUAAGCUUGCUGUGUGGAGCUGGGAUUUGGGAUUCAGAGAGGGUCUUUGAAAGGAUUUUGUGGGAGCAGAGACUGGAAGAGAGGUGUUCUUUGGAGGUACAACUAAGACGGGGCCAAAGCUGUGGUUUGUAAAAUAAAUAGUAUCAAAUACAAAACAUCUGUCAUAUAAUGUAGGUCCUAUUCUGGGCCUGUGGGUCAACCCUGAGCCCAGUUGGAUCUGCUUGCAGUGUUUGGCAUAUGGCAGGGGAGCUGGCUGCUUCACGCAGAGGUCAGGAACACUGUGAUUGCAGCUCAAUGCUGCAGUAUCAUCAAACCAGCCCAACAGAAGUAGCUACACAUGGUCACAUUGAGUUCAUCGCACAUCUGUGAAAUUGUGUUUGACAGUGUUGACUUAUAAAAUUCAUGUCUUGGCUUUAACAUGUGUUUACGUUUCGUUUCUCUUUUCCCUGUUGAUGACAAGGUUGCCAGUCAAUCCUGUAACCAGGUUAUAUGAGAAUAAAAAUCAACAGUUCUGAUGGCAGCCAGAAUUAACGUAAAACCCUCAUCCAAAUACAUUUAUUCCAUUAAAUGAAUUCAUAAAUAAUGUCAAUAAAGUGAAGUGGACAUGUUCAUGCUGUAGAGGACUUAUGCUGGACAAGAGAAAUAUACAGCUGUGCAUUACUAAAUCUGUACGGUUGUAUAAGUUAGAGUGACAUAGUGGUCAUUUAUCAUGAGUUUAGUUGUAGUACUUCCUGUGGAUAGCUUAUACAUGACACCUCCAGGUUCAAUGCUUUAAAAUGAGCUGCAGAAGGACACUUUUUCACAUACCUUAUUAUCCACCUGCACAACAUCCUAAGCUAUCAUCCCGUUAGCCACUGGCUAGCAUGUUUGUCGAUUGUUUUGGUAUGUAAUAGGUCAACCAAGCAAUGACCUAGCAGUAACAAGCUGUAAAUAGGCUUCUCAUUACGUGCCGUAGCAGGAGAAAACAUACUUAUGUUGAUAAUUUGAUUCUCGCUCAGUGCUUGUAAACAAGGACGAGAACAGUAAUUGAGUUAAAUUGUCUGCUGAUCGAUAACUGUAGCUCAACUUAUCCAUGCAUGUAAACCAGUGGCGGCUGCUGGUCUUUCAAGGAAGGGAAGCUCAUUUCUUGACAGGGUCACAGAUCAUUUUCUUGAAAAUUAACGGAGGGUAGAAUUUACAUAUAAAUAAACAUCAUAAAUGGGCUUGUUUAUUUAUAUGUAAAUUCUACCCUCCGUUCCUUUUCAAGGAAAUGAUCUGUGACCCUGUCGUGACAAAAGAGAGUUGCCAAACGCAACAAUAGUUGUUUCUAACAAUAACAAAGUCGCUGGGGAUCGGUAAAGUCUCCGGAUCAGUUCAGAACAACAAACUGAAUGAAAAACUUGGAAAAUGUUCCAGUGGAUUUUUAUACUUUAAGAUCACUGGUUUGCUUAUUUCACUGUCAAUCAAAAAGGGAUUCUGUCUUAGACAGAUUAUCCAAUCAUGCAGAAGCCGAGCAUCCAGGCCAGCCCACUGCCCCAUUAGACCCCCAGAGACACUGAGCGUCUGAUGGGCGGGACAAAGCCCAACAUUUAUCCAAUGACCGUCCAGUUUUGCGCAGUGGAACAACCCACUUUACGCUUCCCCAUUGAAGUCAGACCGUGUAAAGCACUGUGGCGCUGUGGGGGUGAAUGAGAAGGGAGUCGUGUCGGGACUCCUUUCUCUAGCGCAUAUUUAGUCAGUGAAAUGUACACACAGCUGUACAUAUUUCACAUUUUUUUUCUUUUACAUUUUAGGGAAAGUUGAGCUUCCCUUGCAGUCUUAGCACAAUUGCCACUGACGUAAACGCUCUGACUGUGAUGCGUCCAAGUACCAUUGGAAAGUUUCAGUCUGUGUGCUAUUUUCUUGUUUCAAGAAGACUUGGAUGCCUAACAAGCUGUUAGCAGAAUGGAUGGGACCAAAAGCUGGACAUGUACUGUAUGCUUUGAUGUAUUGAGUCAGGGGGAAAAGCCAGUGAAAACAAUAAUUUAAGCAGUUAUGAGUUCAUUUAUCAUCAAGUUUCCCAUGUUAAUAGUUCAUUUAUCCACAUUUUAUUGUUUUCCAUGUUUCCUUGUUGCACUUGUAGGCCAGUAAAACACCCACUGAUGGGACCCUUUACGAAGUAUCUUGAUUCUGUUUCCCACUUCAUCAUCGGACCCCUGGACACGUUACAGUUAGAAAAACAUAUGAAUCAUAUCAGAUAGCAUCAAGUCCAUGUAGGUGACACAUGAGCACCCAUUAGUCAUUUCUCCAUGGCUGUGUGCAUCCUCUUAACCUUAGUAUGUCGACUCAGAUCAUUAUCAACUUAAAGCGCAUUGAGAAACACAAAGUUUGAACUCAACCCCCCCUGCAAAUUAAAUUGUCACCAUUAAGCACUGUGAAAUGGGUCAUAGGCGGUCAAUAGUUGGUGGUUCAUGCAUGUGAUGAGGCUCCAGCAGUGAGUGUAUCUGAUGACAGUGCAGCCUCAGUUGGUUUCUGCGGGCUUUUUAUGAACCAUGGUCGGUCUUGAACUUGUGACAUGCGAGCAGAACGACACUUCUUAUCUCCAGAGCCCAAAGAUUGAUCACAGGACUCUCAAAUCAGAUGAUACGGCAGCUGAUGAAGUCUCUGUCUCUUGUGUAUGACAGCUUCUUCACAGUUCGGGCCUUGUGUCAUGUGAUGCAAGAGCUUUUUCAACGUGUGCUUUAUUUUAGUUACAGAAGACGAUACAGAAAGCAUUUGUUUUCAUGGUUUUAGAUUGUCAUAUUCAGCAGAGGUCAAGCCCAGGAGACUUUUUGAGGGAAAGGCUGUGGUUGUAAGGACUGAUAUCAAUCUCCUCAUGACCCACAAAGACAAGCCGCUUCAAACAAACAAAUGGAUUUUGUGGCGCAGUAUAUCUGUGGUUCUUUGCUAUUUUAAGAUGCAUCAAAACCAACAUUCGACACAAGAACUGACCUCUGUUAAAAGCUCCACAUCUGUUGGUCUGAUGAGGUUUUUGUUUUCCUUCUCUCAGUCCAAUAAUCCUAUUUGUUUGUCUUUGAAACAAGAGUUUGAACAUCAAAAAAUGUGGUUGUGGCCAUUGUUUAGUCUUGUCUGGCUAACCUCAGCCAGACAAAUCAAUGACUUGUGUUCAAAAGCUGCCCGUCUCUUUAUCCACAAAACAGCCUCAGCUUUCAAACACACCAGAGUGCCAGUCCUAUAGUCAUCUUUUUUGCCAUUUCUGCUUUUAUUGAAGCAAUCAUUUUGUCUCCUAGCAGCAGUUGAAAUUACAGCGCUGGAAGCUGUGACUUUCAGGUGGUUAAACUGCACAUACACUCAGGCGAAACCUCUGCUUCCUUUGAAAUCAAUCAGCUGGUCACGCCUCAUUUCCUGCCAGCCUCCAGUGAACGCAACGACCAGAGCUUCUACCCGGUGCCAGACGUGUGUCUAAAUAUCUACAUAUCAUAGUAGGUACAGCUCUGCACUGCUGGAUACACUCUCAGAAAUAAAGGGUUUCAAAAGGGUUCUGCUUGGGAUCAUACUUUGAGGUGAAGGGUUGCUUGUGAAACCUCUUGAGGGGUUCUAGUUGGAAUCUUUGGACCACAGAUGGGGUAUUUUUAGAACAUUGCAUGUUUGGUUCAGAUAAAAUCUUUGACUUGAAAUAUCUUUAAAACCUAUAGUGGUGGUUCUGUUUAAAAUCUUUGGGUCAUCUGCAGGACUUUGCUAAGGAGGUUCUCUCUGGAACCUUCAAUACAAACUUUGGGGGUUAUGCUGCGUUCCAGUUACCUCAGAUGUUGGAGCUGGGAAUGAUGCUUCACCCGAGUUGACAGCAUUCAAGUUAACAAGUAGCUGUUGUUUACAAUUGACAGCUGUCGUUGGCCGUUGUCAGUUGUUGUUAGCGAUAUUAGUUGUAAACAACGCACAACACAGUAUUUUACUCUACAAACACCAUAGCACCGUGUUCACAGUUAGACGUUGGGCAUUACAACAUAUAAAACUUAUUUAAUUUCACAAAAACAAAACAGAAGUGCUAAUAAAUAAAACAUUAUGAGAGCUUUUAAUGUUACUCUUUACUCUUGAUGCGCUGUACUGCCAUCUUGGAUUAUGACGUUGUCGUCAAGUCAGGGUUGGUGAGGAUUGUCCAACAUUCCGAGUCGGACACCCAACCUCCGGGGGCGUUCCAGAUCAAUUUCCGACUCAGAGCUUGGAAAUUCCUAAUUCUGAGUGCAACUGGAAUGCAGAAUUAGAACCUCUCAUAAGAAUUUUUAGAUGAGCUUUUAGAACCAAAAGGGUAGAAACUUAAACCACUGAGAGGAUAUUGGUAGACUCUCAAAUAAGGGGUUCUGGGUGGAACCUUGACCCAUAGGAGGGCUAUCUGUAGAGCCUAAGUAUUGGAUGUACUUGUGAACCCUUUGAGUCAAACAAGGGUUAUCUGUAGAACCUUGAAGGAGGAGGGGGAAUCCAGAUGGAACCCUGGACCAUAGGAGGACUUUUAGUUGGAACCUUUUUAUUAAAGAGGCCGCUCUUCAACAAAGUUAGGAGUGCAACUUUCUGAUGACUCGGUACCCACACAGGUGGUUUCAGACAAAAUCUUUGGGUGAAAUGAGGGUAUCUAGAACCUUAGCAUUAGUGGUUUUAGUAAUGUCAAAUCAUAGAACAUCGCAUAGGGGUUCUGGUUAAACCGUCAUAUCAUGGAUUGGGUGUCUUCAAAACCAAGCAAAAGGAUGUGGGGAGGGGGCCUUUGAACGUAAAAAGAGGUUCUGUUUGGGAUCAUACAAAGAUUUCAUCAAAAGAGGUUCUGAGCUUUUGGAUCAGAGGGGUGUCUGCUAAACUUCAAGGAGUUCAUGGUGGUUUCUCUUGGAUUGCAGAAGGGCUGUUAGUAGAGUCUUGAAUUGUUGGCUCCUGGCUGAACCCUUCAAGAAAGAUUCGACCGGAUUAAUAAUCUAUUUGCUGGUCGUGGUAGAACCCCCUGACGGCAGAGUAGGGGUUCCUUCUUCAACGGUUCUUGUAGUAAUUUAAAAAAAAGGUUCUACAAUGAGGAGAAACCUACAUGGCUCUAGUUUGCACCGUUAUAUCUGAGGGUGUGGAUCACUUCAACACAUGGUUCAUAUAAACCAGCAGAAGGAAAGAGUUUCAAGUCAUGAACCAACUCUUAAGCCAAUAGUUCUUGGGUUGUUGCAAUCUUCUUAUGAGCUGGUUUCACUGCGCUUUCAUUUUACAUUCGAGGAAUGUCUUUGAGAUUAAUGACAUGCACACGCACACAUAUGCUUUCAUAAUUUAAAAAGUAUCUGGUUUUCAAAACAAGAGUUUAAGCAGAGUGAAGGUGCCUCUGAGUGACUGAUGCUGUCCCCCUCUCCUCACAUGGCAGGCCUGCUCCUGUGGUCAUAGGUUGACGUUGGCCUAAUAACAAAUUACUGCUUUGCUCCAAUCAGAGGUAUUCAGACAUCCGCCUGGGCCGGCCGCCCGCCUCUCUUUUUCUCUAUUUUAAGAGCCAGACCGAGGGGGGGUGGAAUUACACUCCAAUAAACUUAAUCAUUCCCAUCAGUGAUGUGGGAUACAGAGAAGGGACUGAACUCUUCUGCUGCUUCGGGGCUGUUUCCAUGAGGCACGUUCUUGAUCCACAUUAAUGUCCUCUAAAGGUUUAGUGGCGAUCACCGCACCACUACCAUAUGCAGAGGGAAAACCUUUGAAACUGUCUGUGAUAUGCGUCACUUGUGCUUUUGACCGGGCUAGCGCGGUGCAGCAUGUGCAAACUAAUUCUAGAGUGGAGGAAACUGGAAAAGAGAUGAGAGUUAGAAGAAGGAAGAAAGGACAGUGGAUGCGGCUGCAGCGGUUUACCAGCAGCUGUCAUCCCAAAUGACUGACUUGAAGGAGCUUUUGACAUUGAGUCUGGUGUAAAGGAAGGAUGCAUAAUGCUUUACACUGAACUGUUUAUCAGCUUUCAUAUCCUGAACCUGAA